rnacentral:lncRNA from 1 species
GGUUGAAGAUAUGAAAGGAUGGAUUAAAAUCCUCAAGAGAUAGAGAUUUGAGGCUAAGAGAGAUUGUCAUCGGAUCCGUGAUGACCUAAAGCACCUAAGGAGGAUACUUGAAGUGAGAAGAGGUUUUUCUUGUCUUGAAACUCACUCUCAAAGGAGCUCCAGUGGUGGUCCAUCUAAGAGGACCAAAAUCUCUGAAGAGAUGAGCUGUGGAGAGAGAGC